rnacentral:rRNA from 1 species
GACGAACGCUGGCGGCGUGCCUAAUACAUGCAAGUCGAGCGAGCUUGCCUAGAUGAAUUUGGUUCUUGCACCAGAUGAAACUAGAUACAAGCGAGCGGCGGACGGGUUAGUAACACGUGGGUAACCUGCCCAAGAGACUGGGAUCACACCUGGAAACAGAUGCUCAUACCGGAUAACAACACUAGACGCCUGUCUAGAGUUUAAAAGAUGGUUCUGCUAUCACUCUUGGAUGGACCUGCGGUGCAUUCUCUAGUUGGUAAGGCAACGGCUUACCAAGGCAAUGAUGGAUAGCCGAGUUGAGAGACUGAUAGGCCACAUUGGGACUGAGACACGGCCAAAACUCCUACGGGAGGCAGCAGUAGGGAAUCUUCCACAAUGGACGCAAGUAUGAUGGAGCAACGCCGCGUGAGUGAAGAAGGGUUUCGGCUCGUAAAGCUGUGUUGGUAGUGAAGAAAGAUAGAGGUAGUAACUGGACUGUAUUUGACGGUAAUUACUAAGAAAGUCACGGCUAACUACGUG